GGAGGCAUAGCUCAGUUGGUUAGAGCGCUUGCUUCACAUGCAAGAGGUCACAGGUUCGAGCCCUGUUGUCUCCACCA
rnacentral:tRNA from 1 species